rnacentral:rRNA from 1 species
GCGUGAGUGAUGAAGGCCUUCGGGUUGUAAAGCUCUUUUAGAUGUGACGAUGAUGACGGUAACAUCAGAAAAAGCCCCGGCUAACUUCGUGCCAGCAGCCGCGGUAAUACGAAGGGGGCGAGCGUUGUUCGGAAUCACUGGGCUUAAAGCGUACGUAGGCGGACUUGUAAGUCAGAAGUGAAAGCCCAGGGCUUAACCCUGGAAUUGCUUUUGAAACUGCAAAUCUGGAAUCCGGUAGAGGUUGGCGGAACUCCGAGUGUAGAGGUGAAAUUCGC